GGAAAGAGGCAGGAGUGGCUGAACCGGCACGCCUGGGGGGCGUGUAAUCCUCUGAAAGGACUCCGGAGUCCGAAUCCCCGUCUUUCCAC
rnacentral:tRNA from 1 species